UGAAACCUUUUAGGCUGAAGGGGAAGCAUUCUGAAAUAGGACAAGGGGCACCUCGUGUUGAAACCUGGAGCUGGUCAACCCUCUGAGGCCAAUGCCGACCUUUGCAUCUGCCUCCCACGCCCUGCUUGUUUUAGCUGGACCAGGAGAAACUAAUGUCAAGACAAAAAAAAAAAAAACCUGAAAUCCAUAACAUUUUGAUAGGUAGCUUUAUGAACAGUUACAAAUCAGAUGUUUGCCCCCCAAAUUUUAACUUUAUUCUCUGAAACAGAUCUAAAAUUCCUAUCUACCUCACAGUUUCACAGAUAACCCAGUCUCUUCCAGUUUAUAACUGCCUCUUUGGCAUGUCUGCAACAUGGAUGCAAUGAUAUAACCUUAUUUUAUGUAUCAUCCAUUCACCUGUUGAUCAAAGACUGUAUUCAAGAUGGCAGGCACGGUGAAGUCAAUGAUAACUCUAGUUUAUUGAGAAACUACUCGGCAUCAUACAUUAUCUUAAUUAAUCCUCUUUACAAUCCCAGAAAGUGUUCCUUAUCCUUUAUCUUCAAGUACCCUAAGGUGCAAAGCACAGAAGGAGGGGUGGUUUAGAAAGACUGGGCUCGGCCGGGCGCAGUGGCUCACGCCUGUAAUCCCAGCACUUUGGGAGGCCGAGGUAGGCGAAUCACCUGAGGACCGGAGUUCAAGACCAGCCUAACCAACAUGGAGAAAUCCCGUCUCUACUAAAAAUACAAAAUUAGCCGGGUGUGGUGGCGCAUGCCUGUAAUCCCAUCUACUCUGGAGGCUGAGGCAGGAGAAUGGCUUGAACCUGGGAGGCAGAGGUUGCUGUGAGCCGAGAUCACGCCAUCGCACUCCAGCCUAGGCAACAAGAGCGAAACUCCAUCU
rnacentral:lncRNA from 1 species